UUUAGGCCUCUGCAGCUCUGAGAUUCUCGAACUCUGUAACCAUCUCUUUAAAGAUGGAAAGCAGAGAUGCUGAGCUAGACCAGAUGUGGUGGAUAAAGCCAAGAUAAUCAGCCCAGCGGUUUCUCUCUCUCCAGUGCCCUGCGUCAGCAAGGCCUUGGCAGGCUUCACACCCAGCAUGGAGCCCAACACAAGGCUUGAACUCACAACCCUGAGCUCAAGACCUGAGGUGAGAUCAAGAGUCAGAUGCUUAACUGACUGAACCACUCAGGCGUCCCUAGAAGCCAGCUGAUUUCUAAAUGUAUCUUCCCAUCUACAAAAUGUUGUUAUUUCUGGAGAUUUGGACAGUGCAAGAUGGACCAUACAGAGGAAUAAAAGACCAGAAAGUCAUCUGAGCUACUCCCCAAACUUUAGGCAUACUGCACUGAAACCAAUCUAGACUUCCAGAAAAGAUAAUUCUACCACCUUCUCUCAGAUUCAAAUCACACUGACUGCAUCCUAAGCCCAUUCUCUUUUAUUCUGUGUUGACUGGAGA